rnacentral:misc_RNA from 1 species
GAUAUCUGCUCUCCCAAGAAGGGAGAAUAUGUGUUUGUAUCAGCAGCUUCUGGUGCAGUUGGCCAACUUGUUGGCCAAUUAGCAAAGUUGAUGGGUUGUUAUGUUGUUGGGAGUGCUGGAAGCAAAGAGAAGAUUGAGCUGCUGAAGAACAAGUUUGGAUUUGAUGAGGUUUUCAACUACAAGGAAGAACGGGACUUAGAUGCAGCACUAAAGCGGUGCUUCCCCGAA